rnacentral:misc_RNA from 1 species
CGUACAGGCUUGCAAUGCUAUACAGCAGCGCUUUCAGCGACGCCCAAAACAACGAAUUGGCCGCAGCAUAAAUCGGCUCUGGGCCAGGCCUCAGUGGGGCCGAGGCAGCAACGGCGAAAAAUGGCGGAUAAAUCUGAAGCUGCACUGGAUGGCAAAGCUCUACAUUCGUUGCGCGUCGUCGACCUCAGAUCGGCGCUCGAGAAGCGGGGACUACCGAAAAGUGGAAGCAAGAAGGAACUCGUUGAGCGGUUGAAGCUGCAACUUAAGAUAGAGAAACUACACGAGGAGUCUGUGAAGGCUGAAGAUCGGGUGCCCAACCUUGACCUCCAAGAUGAGCUGACUGGACAGAAUGACUUCGUCAGGCAGUACUUGGCGGCACAACAACAAACAUAUGCCAUGCAACUUAAAGAGCGUAGACUGGCCGAAAUGCAGGCCUUCAGCAGUGCACCAGAUCAAGUGGGUGGUGAAGAGGCUGCUGCAGUGCCAGUGGUGCUGAGCCCAGCUGUGGAUGAGAAGAGCAGCCACCAAGGGUCUUGGGAGCGUCCACGCAGAGGCCGCACAUGCCCAUCUUCUAUAGAUCCAGGAGGGAAUGCUAGCCAUUGUCCCUACCAAGGAAAGUUGCCUGUGGGAGCAAAUACUGCAGUGGACACUUGCAGAAGGAGUAGACUUCGCCAGAAGAGGCUAUCUCCUCCAUGUCCUGCCAAGAAAGGGCGCACAAAGUCAGCAGGAGGAGGGGAGCAAGAGCAAAGUUGCCAGCCACAGCCUGAAUUUUCAAGCACUCAAAAUGAGUGCAGCAUGCACGACAUGGUGCAAAGGACUGUACAAUCACCUCGAAAAGGAGCAGUAGCACCUGCUGUUUCUCCCCCACCAAUUGAUGAGCGUAAAGACCACCGAUACCCUUCCAGGAGGAAACGAGAGAAGUCUGUCAGCGAAGAAAUGGUCACUGCUUCACAACCCGGAUGCACAGAAGCCAUCACCAAUGAUGAAAAAGAGGCAUGUGAUGUAGAAGCAUGUCAAGCAACACCAGCUAGCCACCAGGACAAAACAGCUGAGAAAAGUGAAUGUGUGAGAGAGAAACAUGCACGGUUAGAAGAUCCAUCCCCAGCACUUGUGACUGCACACAGAAGCACACGAAAGAAAAACAAAAGGAAAUCAUUAACGACCAUGGGCACAAAUGCUGAAUCUAGCCCAUUAGAGUUGAGCCAGCAAACGUUACCACAGCAUUUACCAGAGGCUGAUCAGUCGAACAUCGAAAGAACAAGCUACCCCAUCCAAUGCUCUGUAGUAGAUGGAAGCAAAAAAAGGGGAAAGCCAUUGCGGAUGCUCAUAACAAGGACUGGCACAACAAAGAGUGUCAUCUCUUGCAACCGUGUAAAUAUGCGAUGUGAACCAUUACCUGAAAAUGCUGCUGCAUGCCAUUUGAACACUUCAUCUACUCAAGUGCCUUGUAAUGUGCUACCAAGUGAACCAGCACUUAACUCAUCUGCCUUAAAGGAUUCCCAACCAGACACACAAGAUACCCAAAGCCCAAGCCGUUUGUUAGAAGUCCAAGUUGGAGAUGACCUUCAUGAGACGUUGAACAAAUUACACAUAACAGAGGCGGAAAGUAGGAAAAAAACAACGGAGACAGAUAGUGCGAAGGAAAGUCUAAGCUCAGUACAAUGUGACACAAUACCAGUGUGUGCAACACCUGAAAGGAGUGCACCAAGUUUGGUGGAACAAGAGCGGAAAGAAGACUUAAAUAAGGACUCUGUUACGAGGAAUUGUGAUGCAAACACUGUGGAAAAUACACCAUCAGAAAACAAGAAUUUUCAGCCAGCAGCAGCUGCAAUUGUUAAAGAUGUGGAACAGAAAGCACUAGAACAAGAUCUGAAUGCUUCUUCAACAUCUCCUGCUGAACACAAUACCCCUAGCACAAGUAGCAUGGCAGCAGGUGCAUCUAGCAGCCCCACAAGACCAUCUGUGCGUAGACCGCUGACGCUAGAAGAAAUGACAAGUGCUGUUGAAUCCAUUCUUCAAACAACAGAGCAAACACUGGCCCUGAAUGAACAGUGUCAAGACAUGCCUGACACUCAUGCCAACCUCAUUGAUGAAAAAGAACUUGACAAUGCUACUGACAGCCUUUUAAAAGAGAUGAGUGUUCAUAACGAAGAGAACUUGCAGCUCACCACCUCUUGCCUGUCAGCACAGCAGGACAAAAUAGAUGAAUUCUCAACAUCAACAACUUUACAUAAGAAUUACAUUCCCAGUGAUGACAAGAGAGGCUGUGGAACAGAGGAAGUCAGUGUAAAAUGUGCUACUGAGUCACCUUAUAAUAUUGUAUUGUCGCAGAGCGAACCAGCCAUGUUUGAAACACAGAGCAGCAUUUCACAAAAUGAAGAGCUUAUCUGCACUACUAUAUUGCCUACAGAUGCUACAGGAAUACUAUCAGGAGCAUCCCUUACUGAAGGAAAGGUACUGGAUGAAGGAGCACAACCAAGCACACCUAACAGUUCUAGUUCACCCCAAUGCUUUGAUGCUGUAGGGUUAGAUACAAUUGUUACAGAAACCAAACCCUGUACAACUGUAGAGAAUGACAAGCACCAGCAAAAAAUAUCUCAACAGAGCACUUCAACUGCAAUCAGCACUUCACCUCCAACAGAAUGCUUAGAAGACAUGGAUACUCAAAGACCAGAUGAGCAUACAAGAUCGACAAUCACAGAAGCUUCAAAAAAUGACAGUACACGGGAGCCACUGAACAGUGAACCUUCACAACUUCUCAAUUCUAAAAUUCCUGUGCAAGUGCUUGAGAAUGACCAAAGCAUAAAGACAGACCAUGUAGUGCAAGAAAUGGGCGAUAAAAGUUCACUCCAGGAGACUUCCUUUUAUCAAGAAACUUUUCAACCUUUACAUAAAACACAAGCUAAAGAUGAUGGCCAGAAAGCUCUGGCAAGCCACAAAUCUUCAGGUUGCCUUCAUUCUGCUUGUGAAGACAAAGAUGUACCAGGCAGUCUUGAGUGUGUGCCACCUCUUGAAACAACAUUGAAACAAAGUGCAGGUGUAGAACUGUGCAGCAACUUAACAUCACUGGAUAUAUUAGAUGACACACAGAAGCUGCAUGCAGACGUUUCAGAAAAAGGUGCGUCACCAGAAAAGCAACUUAACACUCCAGACUUCAGUCUGUCUGAAACAACCUUGGAAACAAUUUCUUGUUCUGGUGAUAAGGCAUCAAAAUCAGCAGACACAGUAGAAACAUCUCUGCCAGAAGUAGAACCAUGCAAAGAACAGCGGAUCAUAAAUACACUGGAAGUGCUCCCAUGCUCCCGUGGUAGUGAUAACACAUCCAUGAUAAAAAGCCGAAGUGGUACACUUUAUACCACAGAACAUGAGGAAAGCAAGAAAAUGGAUACUUCUGGUUUUCUUCCAAAGUUGCUUUCAUCAAACUCAGAAGAAAGUGCUGAUAAUAGCAAGCAACUUGACCUGUCCAGUACGUCUCUGGGUGCUGAUACACCAGUAAUGCUUUCAUCAAACAGGGAUGCAGGAAUGCAGCAGGAAUCAGAUAACAGAUGCUCCAGCUAUUUCCUUGAAGAGCAAUCAAUAAGGGGAUCAGGCUCAAAUGAGGGUCUUCAAAAUGAAGGAACAAAAACUAAAGCAACAGCAGGUGCUCUUUCAACAGUUCCCAAUGAAGAAAAGGAACCAGCAGAAGAAACCACAACUGACAGCCUGAAAACACAGGAAUGUACAGAAAACACAAUGCAUGAAAUUAAUGAGAAAGCAGCAGUGGUCACAGGAGAUGCAGGAUGUACAAUCUCCAACAAUGGGAACACUGAUGAGCCCCCUGAGCGAAAAAAAGACGUGCUUCACUUUCCACAAGAUGAAGUACCACAAGAGAUGUCUGUUCAAUGCUAUACUUCACCAGUGGAUGAACCUGGAGACAAAGACACUAUGUCAACAUAUACAACUAACCAAGAUUCUAAUCUUACCAGCUGCAUAUUGCCUAUGCCUCAAGACAGGUACAACUCAGAAGCACUUCCAGAUUUUUCACUUGAAGAAGCAACCAGUGUGAAUUUAGACAACUCUAAUGAUGCUAUGAAUCCAAGGGUUUCAGACAGUUCAGUCACAAGUUCAGUGCCAUUGUCAGUGGCUUCUGAGAGUUCAUCAGGCAGCUUGGCUAAAGCACACAAGCAAAAUGAAGAGGCUCAAGCUGUAAGCACAGUACCCUGCAGCUUAGGUGCCGGCUUCACAGUGACCCAGCAGCAGCACCAACAGCACCAAGAUGCCUCAAGUUUAAGGAGCUGUGACUCGACAACAGAGUCUUGUAAUGCUUUACAGCAUUCACCAGCACUGUCAGUCAAAGAGUGUGCAGCAAGAUGCCCUGAUGCUAACUCAGCUAUCAGUUUGUCAGCAAAAGGGCAAUGUUAUGAUGGAUCUGUUCUAGCACCUGAGAGUACAAUCGUAGAGUGUGGUAUGCUUCAUCACUCUAGUUCUCCCAACACUCCGAAUGUAAUGGGACCAGUGCAACCAAAUUCAUCAACAGGCAUUCAAGACACAAAGGAAAUGCCUGCUUUCAUUAUACCAUGUUCCAAUACCCAUAAACCUAGUGCAAUUUGUCAGUUCUCCAGGCCGCAUGAAAAUGAUGACAUUCCAAGCAAGCCCAUGCAAGGUGAUCAACAAAUGCAAGCAACUCACGACGGAAGAGCUGCACGAAAAGAAGUAAAAAAUGACACUUCUGUUUCCGGAGAAAUUAUGGACAGCAGUGAUGCCAUGAAAUCAAGAUCACCUGUAGGUUGUGCAUGUGAUGAUUUAAACCCUGCAGAAAGGAAACUUGAAAACAAAGAUAAUUUUGAUAAUUCCGGAGUGUCGCCUGCGUGCUCUGAGGAAGCAAACUUGGCCAUCACUGGAGAACUGUUUGUCACUACUGCAGAAACUAAAGCAGACAUUAAAAAUGCUGCAGCAGAGCACAAACAGAGUGCCACGACAACACAUGAGGUUUCCAGUGAACUGGAAAAUACUGAUAAAAUAGAAGUGACCGACUGCACAUGCACGAAAUCACCAGCUAAGAUUUUGUUGCAAGAACAUGAAAGUCUGGAUGAAAGAAAGAAUGAAGCACUGGCAACUAACACCCAAAUGAUCAUACUUCACAGCAAUAGGGCGAAUGCAACACGUGAAGAACUGUUAUUGGACAAAAAUGAUACUUUUCAAAAGGAAAAAUGCAGCACACACAAUAAUCAAUAUAAACAAGAAGUGGGAGCCAACCUUCACCUGUGUGGCACAUCACCUAAACAUCCACCUUCCGCUAUGUCUGUGAUAAUAAAUGCACAUGUGGUACAUGAAGCAAGUGCAGCUUCUCGAGACUUUUCAGAGGAAUCCACAAACAUCUCAUUUCCUGAGCACUCGGAAGAACUUGGCACUGACGCCAUACAUGAACGAGAACCUGUAGAAGAAUUUGAAAGUUUCAAGUUUGGUGGGCUCCAUGAUGUGGGCAUUGAAGAACAUAGUAACAACACACUGAAUGUCACUGGGUCCACCAACAUAUCAGUAAAGGCCAGAAAUACAAUUCACAAAGGUGCUGAAACAAGCUGCGAUCCUCACAGCAGCACAUUAAGAAAUGAAAAUUCUCCAGAACAUUCAAAUUUAUCAUCUGUUGUCCCAGAGGAUGGCAUAAGGUCUCAAAAUGUUGAAACAACAGUGACUUCAGCAAUUAUGGAGCAGGCGAAUGUGAAGGGCAACGAUGACAGCAGUGCUUUUUAUUCUCCAAGUGAGGCAUGUUUCACUGGGCUGAAUGCAACUCCUGAACCAAGCAAUAUAGAACCCACCUUAACGGGACACAAAGAAAUGUACGCCAAAAGGACGGGUAGCGAAUUUGCACAUAGCCCCACUGACCUCAGUCGAAGCACAACACAAGUGGAAUAUUCAACUGCAGCACAUGCAGUUUCGCAUAUCUCUGGCGCUGAACGCACUGUUAACUUAGCAGACAUGGAUACUUCCGAUAGCGAUCAAGCGGUGGAAAAGCAUACGCUUAGUUUUUCCACAAAUGCCGAGCAUCUCAGUAGGCCUGUAGAAAUUGUGAAUAGCUCGUCGAACUUUGCCGUUAAGGAUGAGUUAGUGUUGGGAUUCACUGCUGGAAAUCUGCAGCACUGCGCACCUUUACUUGUUGAAGAUAUUCCAAAGGACUUGGAAGGCCAAGACAAAGAACAUACUUUUAGUAGUCCGUCCAACUGUGCUAAAGGAAACGAUAACAGCGCAAUUUAUGACAGCAAAGGAACAAAAGAAGAUUCAAUGCAAAUGGAAGCAACUAUGUGCACCGAGCAACACGGCGCAGAUCUCAUAAGGUCGCCAGGAGCAGAUGGCAUGGACAUUGAUGUUGCAACAGGUUCGAUGGAAUUUCCAAGCUGUUCCAAGUCCCAUGCGGACACUGCGGCGUCGAACAGUUGCGGUGCACACAGUUUCAAUAUCGCGGCUUCUCCGAAACGCAACGUCGAGUGGCAGUGUUCGGUCAGCUGCACCAACUCUCAGCUACAUGAAGCGUGUGAUCCCCUCCCACAGAACUGCGGCAAGUCCGACGCUAGCGCCGGUCUUCAAGACAAAACACGGGAGACAGGGAGAAAUGUUCUAGGCCGUGUUGACACUAGUGAUAGCAGUGAGGACACCAGCUGUUCUGAAAGUGAAGAACACGAAAUGGCACGCCUACGAGGCCGAGGGGUGCGCAAGCAGGUGCCUGCUCGAGCCACUAAGGAGUCAUCAGAAGCAUCCUCUGAUGGAGAGGGCAGCGAGGCUGGAAACCGGCGACUGCGGAAUGGCCGCCGUGCAACGCCGGAGGAACCUCAGGCGAUGCGGCGAUCAUCGCGCAACCGCAAGGCGGCUACAGAGGAAAGCCCCAAGGAAGACUCUGAUGCAGCCACUGAACCUGAGAGCACACCGGGGAGCCCACAACUGGAGGAAGGCCAAGUGCUGAGUCCCGUGAAUGAAGAGGAGGAGCAGAAGCCUGUGGGUAAGAAGGCAUCUGAGGGUAGUUCAAGCUCAUCAUCAUCAGAGUCGUCGGAUACAUCGGAUGGGGAGGAGGAACCAGUGGGUCGGAGGGGCCUCAAGGGGGUGCUGGCGUCGCCCCCAGGGCGACACCAGGCACCCUCUGAAGGGCCCCGUUCACCCCCGAACAGCGAGCCAGCUCAGGAGGAGGACGUGAAAAGCCAGGAGGAGCCAGCUGAAGUGAAGACUGUUGAGCCUGACCAGCGUCCACUGCAAGAGGAGAGGCCAGCCAAAGAAAGCGUUCCUGAAGAUGUAGAAAUGAAGGAUGAUGACGAGAGCCAGCCAGCUUCUGGGGCAUCACCACCCAAGUUCAAAACCAGGAGGCUGUCGACAGCAGCAUUGAAAAAAGAUUCUGAAGAUAAGGAGGAGCGACCACAGCGGAAGCGCAGAUGGGGCUCUACGAAUGUUGUCCUUGGUCCUUCCGUGAGCAUUUCUACUGCGGCAUUGAAGGACCUGAUACCCGAUAUUGAAGAGCCACUAUCCAAGCCCAAAGAGCUUGAAGAGGAGCAUGUCACUGCAUCUGUUGGAGAGUCACCAGUCACAGAGCAGGAGGAAGCUUCUGACGAGCCACCAGCUAAACUAAAGGUUGUAGAUGAUGAACCUACUAGUGAAGAAAUGCCACCCUGCAGUGACAACACAGAAAAAGAUCAGGAAAAGGGGGAAGAUGGAGAGCCUAGUCACGGUGAAAAGUCUACAAAGGGUGACAGGAUUGACAAGGCUUCAAGAGAUGAGAAACCUAAUGAUGAUAGGCUUCCAAGGAGUGAACGCUUCUCUCGAGAUGAAAAGGAGAAGCACUCUGGCAGGGAUGAGAAGACAAACAAAGCUGAAAAACCUCCGAGAGAAGUUAGUAGAGAUGAUAAGCAUGGAAGGCAUGAAGCAAGCACAAAGGAAACAAAAGGGGCCAGAGAAAGGGUGUCGCCAAUUACAGCACCAACUGCUGAGCGCAAGGCCCUCCAUGUGAUCUCAGACAGAGCACCCUUGUCUAAAAGGCCUGCAGCAGGCAAGGACGAAGCUGGCCAGCGCAAGUUGGCAAGCCCACCAAGAAACCCAAAGAGCCGCAUUUUGUUUGUGCGCAACCUUGUGCGGCCUUUUACGUUGAAUCAGCUGAAACAGUUGCUUCAAGAAUUUGGAGAUACCGUUGACUCUGAGUUCUGGAUUGACAAGAUCAAGUCCAAAUGUUUUGUAACUUAUGUAUCGGAGGAAGAUGCUGUCAAAGCCAGAGAAGCAUUACAUAACUUGCGAUGGCCACUCUGCAAUCCAAAAAUACUACACGUGGAUUUCUCAUCACCUGAAGAGAUGGAACGUCAGAAGGAGCCUCCUACACCACCACCACCUAGGCCAGUAGCUGUUACAGAGCGGACUGUGCCAGCAUUUCAGCGAACUGUAGAGGUGGACACCCGUAUGCCAACUGGACGCGAAGUUUUGCGGGACCCACGAGAGGUUUUGCGAGACCCUAGGGAACCCCGGGAAAUUAAGGACCCCCGAGAACCUAAGGAUCCUCGUGAGGCUCGGGGCACUGUCUCAGGCCCCCCAGCACGCCCAGACAGGAAUCUGAUGGCUGAAAGACAGGCAGUAAACAGGCGGCCUGCUUUGCCAGUGCGCGAGUGGGACCGGGACAAACUGCGUCAGGAGACGCCACCUCCACCACCUGCUGAGCGGGCACCUGCCCAGUCUCGGAACAGGGCCACUUCUCCACCAGACAAGCGAGAGCGUCGAGACAAGAAAGUGGCAAAGCGCAAAUCAGAAGAAGAUACACCAGCCAAAUUGCUGGAUGAUUUGUUCCGUAAAACGAAGGCAAGUCCUUGUAUCUACUGGCUGCCUCUUACUGAGGAACAGAUAGCACGGAAAGAAGAGGAGCGAAAGCAACGGCGACAGGAGAGGGAACGCAGGCGACAGCAGCAGCAACUACAGGAAGAGGAAGAGCGCCGUAAGCGAGCUCUUGCACGUGACAUGGCUGCCAAGACAAAGCAGGAGUCCAAGCGCAGUGGCAGCCGUAGUCCUGUGCGGCGGCGUUAAAGAAUCCUAUGCUCCCAGUGGGCUUCAGAAACCAAUAGGGUUGUUCUGGGAGUCCCAUGUGGGGAGACAAGCUGGCCUCUCAGCAUCGACUUCUCUGCCCUAUCAGCCCGGCACCAGCGCGGGCAAGAUAAAUGGGGAGAGGGCCCUUGGUCGGACUGCUUGCGUGCGGGACCCUAGUUAGCUGCCAGCAAAACUUCCCCAGGGGUCGAUGGGCCCAGGCAGGAACACGUCGCAGCAUGCACCACAAUGCCUCAAAUUGUCUCCUGAAAAACCAAAAAACAAAAAGUUACAAAAAAAAAUGGCCGGCCUCCAUUUUCAUCGUCAUCACCAUUUUGGAACGGAUCUCUGUUGCUGUUGUGGAGGGUGCUACUUCGGAAAAACUGUGUGCUUCAAACCAAGACUGCAUCCAAGAGUGGCAGCUGGUGCAACACUGAUGCCUGUGCGGAUAAACUGUGGUGUUGGACUGCAUCAGCUUGACUUGCACAUGAGACUCCGUUGCAGACGCAUUGUUAAUUCCCAUCUCUCUCUCAACUUGUUUCUGCCAUUUGUCAGCUUGCAAGGAAUGUGGCUGUAUACCCAUCUGCACUCAUUUGCUAGAGGAACUUCAUGGAUGCAUUAUGAAAAAAGGGUUCUAUGAAACUCCACAAGUUCCCAUCGAUUGUUUUUGUGCUCAUUCACAGUAAAGUAAGGCCAAUAAAAGUUUAAAGCUUCACU